AUUGAACGCUGGCGGCAGGUCUAACACAUGCAAGUCGAACGAGUGGCGGACGGGUGAGUAAUGUCUGGGAAACUGCCUGAUGGAGGGGGAUAACUACUGGAAAAGGUAGCAAAUACCGCAUACCCUCAGAUGUGCCCAGUUGGGAUUCGCUUGUUUGUGGGGAAACGGCUCACCAAGGCGACGAUCCCUAGCUGUGCUGAGAGGAUGAACAGACACCCUGAAUGUGAGACAGGGCACAGACUCAUACGAGAGGUAUCAGUGGGGAAUAUUGCACUAUGCGAGCAUGCCUCGUGCAGCCACGCCGCGUGUAUGAAGAAGGCCUGCGGGGUGUAAAGUACUUUCAGCGGGGAGGCGUUACCCGCUGAAGAAGCACCGGCUAACUCCGUGCAAGCGGCGCGGUAAUAC
rnacentral:rRNA from 1 species